AUGAAAGGUGUUGAAUGUCAGACUGCCUGCAUUAGAAGUGAUACCAGUUUGGAGUUUUGUACUAAGAGUUUUGAAAAUUCACCACAGAGUACCAAAAAAAUUAAAAGAAACAGUAAAAUUGUGAGAUUUUGUAUUCAUGUGUGUGUUUGUGUGUUGUUUUUCUCCCCUAGUACACAGAUGAGAGGAAUAGAGAGACUCGUCUUCCUGUUUUGGCUGCUGCAAGUUGUCCUCUUCAUUGAUGGGGUGGAAGAGGCAGACAAUGAGAUAGACCAUAGUGCAGACUCAGAUGGUGAGUACAAAGCAUAGAGAUGUCCAAGAGUACCAGAGCAAACUUUUUUUUUUAAAUGACAGUAGCAAAUUAUAUGAGACAUACAGUACCCACAGUCAAUGUUAGAUUGAGUUAACUAUUAUACAACCGUGUUUCAUCUCUUAACGAGUCAGUUGUCUUAGCCACAUUUGAUACCUUAACACAGUUAAGUUGUCUUAGCCACGUUUGAUACCUUAACACGGUUAAGUUGUCUUAGCCACGUUUGAUACCUUAACACGGUUAAGUUGUCUUAGCCACGUUUGAUACCUUAACACGGUUAAGUUGUCUUAGCCACGUUGGAUCCCUUAACACAGUUAAGUUGUCUGAGCCACGUUUGAUACCUUAACACGGUUAAGUUGUCUUAGCCACGUUGGAUCCCUUAACACAGUUAAGUUGUCUUAGCCACGUUUGAUACCUUAACACAGUUAAGUUGUCUUAGCCACGUUGGAUCCCUUAACAUUGUUUAGGUUUCUUAGCUGCCUUUGAUACCUUAACAUGGUUUACUUGUCUUAGAAGCAUUUGAUAUCUUAAAAGGGUUACAGUUGUAUUAACAAUAUUAUCUACUUUAUUUAUAUAACCCCGUUCUAUAUUUCUUCUUUAUUUUAUCAACUUGUAUUUAUUAUAUUGCUGCAUUACUCUCUCAUGUCCACUGUUAUUGUACUUUUGUUAUUUACAUUUUAUUAUUGUCUAUCUUCAUUUUGUAUUUGUGUAGAAACAUAUUGUGUCUUUAUAUUUCUACCUUUCAUUGUUUGAUAAAAACAUUUGUAAGACAUGCUGUAUUCACGUGUUACGUUUGUUUAAAGAUGGAUUAGACGAAGGUGCGGUGUGGUAGGCGUACAUUUUCCUUUCAUUAAAUGACACCGAAAAAAAAUUAAAAAUACAAAAACUGAAGGUAAAGUUCUGCAGGGCAAAACAGCAACUAUGCAAAAACAAAAUCCCACAAUCUAAGGUGGGAAAAAAGGCUUCCUAAGUAUGAUUCCCAAUCAGAGACAACGAUAAACAGCUCCCUCUGAUUGGGAACCACACUAGGACAACAAAGAAAUAGAAACAUAGAUUUGCGCACCCAAGUCACACCCUGACCUAACCAAAUAGAGAAUAAAAAAGGCUCUCUAAGGUCAGGGCGUCAGGGCGUGACUGGAGGCCUCGUGCGUUGGAGCAGGCACAGGACGUACCAGGCUGGAGACACGCACUGGAGGCCGGGGACAUGGAGCUGGCACAGAAUAUAUUGGACCGUGGAGGUGCACUGAAGGUCUGGAGCGUAGAGAUGGCACAACCUGUCCUGGCUGGAUGCUCACUUUAGUCCGGCAAGUGCGGGGCGCUGGCACAGGACUCACUGAACUGUGAAGGGGCACUGGAGACACGGUGCUUAUAGCUGGCGCAGGAUAUACUGGGCCAUGGAGGCGCACUGGAGGGCUGGAGCGUAGAGCUGGCACAACCCGUCCUGGCUGGAUGCUCACUUUCGCCCGGCAAGUGCGGGGCGCUGGCACAGGACGCACUGGGCUGUGAAGGCACACUGGAGACACGGCGCGCAGAACUGGCACACAUUGCACCGGUGACACACAGCUCAGGGCGAGUGCGUGGAUGAGACACAGACAUACCGGACUGGGGAGGCGCACUGGAGGCCA
ensembl:lncRNA